rnacentral:misc_RNA from 1 species
GGUACAUGCGGUAUUGCAGAGAGCGAAGCAAUUGGACAGAACCACCAUUGCAGCUACUGACAAGAAUGGAAACGUUGAUCCGCCUCGUUCUCCUUGGAUCCUUGACAAUGUCGGCGACAUUUGUGUCGUCCUGUCCCGUGGAGAAAUGUCGGUGUAUCCCCGGCAAACAAAUCAUCGAUUGCCAGUACAAAGGGCUGACAGCGAUCCCCAAAAUCACGCCAAGUGACGAGGUAUUCCAAGAAAUCACCUUUGAAAACAGCGCCGAUUCUUCGGACGAGAGUUACAGUGAUCUGACAAACCUAAAUCGAAUUUCAAACAUCCCCGCCGACGCCUUUCGAGGGCUUAAGGUGAAGAAAAUAAAUCUAGGCAAUGCUGGGGUUCGUGAACUGGAUCAGCAAGCAUUUUCCGGACUUGAAACCGUACUGGAACAUUUAGUAAUCGGCGGGGAUCGCGUUCUUUCGCCACCGUUUGACUCAUUGCAGACUUUGAAGAAUCUUACAAAACUAGAGCUACAGAAUUUUUUAUACCCGGUAUUGGAAGAAAGCUUUGCAAUUAGUAGUUUGUUGCGACUUCAAUCACUAAAACUCAUAAAUAUGCAAAUGUUCCAUAUAUCGGAAAACGCACUCCAAGAAUUCAAAGCUUUACGUCAUCUUGAAAUUAGCGGUAAUAGACAAAUCCGAUUUUACCCUGCCACGGCUAUUUGGAAAGUACCAACCCUGGAAGAACUUGUUUUUAAGGAUAAUGGUUUAGUAAAAGUGGCCGGAUACGCCUUCUAUGAACUGAAGAAUUUGAAAUAUUUAGAUUUAUCGCGAAACGAGAUAGACACAUUAAGUCCAAAUACCUUUCAAGGCGUGUCCAACAAUCUACAGAGCAUCGACUUAACAGGAAAUGCUCUAACAACAAAUUCCUUGUCAAUAUUCUCAGCGUAUGAUUGGAAAAGCAUGAACAACUUGAGAAUCCUGUUAAAUAAAAUAACGCGUAUUCCGAAAAGUAUGUUUUCAAAAAUGAAGAAUUUGGCAUCCCUAGAAUUACAACUGAAUUCAAUCAGCGAAAUUCUUGCUGACGACUUUCGACCUUUGGCGAAUCUGGAAAACCUUGAUUUGUCUAACAAUUUAAUAACGAACAUUCAGGCCAAUGCGUUCGAUCUGCCAUCCAUAAAAACUCUUCGAUUAUCAAAUCUAAAUAAAAACGAAGUCAAAACAUUGAUUGGUAUAAAGAAUGCUUUCAAUGGGACAAAGAAUUCCUUAGUUUUGGUUGACUUAAAGGAAAACAGGUUUAAUACAAAUGAAUUGUGGGCUGAAAUCGGCGGUUUGACGGAGGUACGGGAGCUUGACCUUUCAGACACCGGACUAAUCGAACUGCCCAAAUCAGCAUUCGCCAAGAAUACGCUUAUACGGAAACUAGACCUCAACAACAACAACAUUGGGCCGUCUCUCUCGGCUAGUUCCUUGGAUGGACUGCAAAAAACCCUCCAACAACUACAACUAGUCAACAACGGUAUACAAACCAUGGACAGUUGUAUCUUUGAGGAUUUUCAACAGUUAAAGUUGUUGACAUUGUAUGGAAAUCCUCUACAGUGUGACUGCGGACUAAAAGGCCUUCAGACUUGGAUCAAGUCUCUUGGGAUGCUGUAUUCUUUUAUCGUGCAAGCUCGGUGUUCUUCUCCUGGACCCAUUGCAGGGAUGAUGCUGAUGUCAGUUCCACUUAAAGACAGUAAUGGCAUGCUUUGUAAAUCUGACUCUGCGGCAUGUGAAAACAACACAUAAUUACUAGUACCUUAUUGAUUAGUAUAUACUCUUUUUCUUAACACCCCUCGUUGCAUUGUUCUGGGGUUUUUUGCUAGACUUCAAUUUAUUGAAUAUAAAAAAGCUUAUUGUUUGUAAUUUCUGAUCAAAAUCCAUUUGAAUUAUGCCAAGCGC